AGAGUUUGAUCCUGGCUCAGGAUGAACGCUAGCGGGAGGCCUAACACAUGCAAGUCGAACGGGAUUGAGAGCUUGCUCUCAUGAGAGUGGCGCACGGGUGAGUAACGCGUAUGCAACCUGCCUGUAACAGAGGGAUAGCCCAUAGAAAUGUGGAUUAAUACCUCAUAGUCCUGAGAAGUCGCAUGAUUUUUCAGGUAAAACUCCGGUGGUUACAGAUGGGCAUGCGUGACAUUAGCUAGUUGGUAAGGUAACGGCUUACCAAGGCAACGAUGUCUAGGGGUUCUGAGAGGAUGAUCCCCCACACUGGUACUGAGACACGGACCAGACUCCUACGGGAGGCAGCAGUGAGGAAUAUUGGUCAAUGGGCGCAAGCCUGAACCAGCCAUCCCGCGUGCAGGAUGACGGCCCUAUGGGUUGUAAACUGCUUUUAUACAGGAAGAAAAAUCUCUACGAGUAGAGACUUGCCGGUACUGUAUGAAUAAGCAUCGGCUAACUCCGUGCCAGCAGCCGCGGUAAUACGGAGGAUGCAAGCGUUAUCCGGAUUCAUUGGGUUUAAAGGGUGCGUAGGCGGCUUUUUAAGUCAGUGGUGAAAUCUUGCCGCUUAACGGUAAAAUUGCCAUUGAUACUGAAGAGCUUGAGUACAAUUGAGGUAAGCGGAAUGUGUAGUGUAGCGGUGAAAUGCUUAGAUAUUACACAGAACACCAAUUGCGAAGGCAGCUUACUAAACUGUCACUGACGCUGAUGCACGAAAGCGUGGGGAGCGAACAGGAUUAGAUACCCUGGUAGUCC
rnacentral:rRNA from 1 species